rnacentral:rRNA from 1 species
GAAUCAACGCUGGCGGCGUGCCUCAGACAUGCAAGUCGAACGCGAAAGUUCCCUUCGGGGGGCGAGUAGAGUGGCGCACGGGUGAGUAACACGUAGGUAAUCUACCUUUGGGUGGGGAAUAACAGCCGGAAACGGCUGCUAAUACCGCAUAAUGCAGCGGCUCGACAUCGAGACAGUUGUUAAAGCGGGGGAUCGCAAGACCUCGCGCCUAAAGAGGAGCCUGCGGCGGAUUAGCUUGUUGGUGAGGUAAUGGCUCACCAAGGCAUCGAUCCGUAGCCGGCCUGAGAGGGCGGUCGGCCACACUGACACUGACAUACGGGUCAGACUCCUACGGGAGGCAGCAGUCGGGAAUUUUGGGCAA